ACAGAGCAUGUGAUAAGAACUUAUCAGCACUCCCUUCAACGGCAACAAUGAUCUGUGGUCACAUUCAGCCCUAACACUCAUUUCAGAGUGGCCCUUUUUUUCCAGCAGUCAUCUUUCAGUUUAAAUUUGUACAGUGUUGCUACUGCUUACAACAAAAGCAUAUACAAUAAUUAAUCACCUUUAAAAAUGUUUAUUAAGGAUGUGCUGAUUCAUUGGAUUUAAAAACAAGAAAGGUUACAAAUGAGAAAAAAUCCAGAUGAUUUGGUUGCUAGCAGCUACUAGCCUUCUUCAGGUGUCAAUGAAGCCACAACCGUAGAAGGCUCCACUGCUAAAACGUUGCAUUUUCUUUCUUCUCUUUUCAGCAUGGAAUAAACCCAUUUCCUGCUCCCUUGCAGCCUACGCAUGCUGACGCAGCUACUGUACCUACUUGAACUACUUCUUUUAGUCUGUCAAUGUGGGAUGUCCCUUCUCAAACAUGGCAAAAGGAAGAGAAGAAGCCUCUCUGUCAUCCACAUUGCUGGCAGCCUAUUGGGUUGGCACUGUGACAGAAUCUAA
rnacentral:lncRNA from 1 species